GUCAAGUAGAAUCGAGUCGAUCUUGACAGGCGAGUGUAAAAAAUAACGAUUUUUCAUUUGUUGCACUACAAUUUUUAAUCCUGGGAACAACCAGCAGUUCGUAGGUUCAUACGAGCUCUUGUACAUGUACUGCAACUGCUACUUUGUACCAAUUCACAUUGGUUUGACUACGAGGAGGCAUACAUGUUUCUUAUUUAUUAAUCAUCCAAGGUAAUACGAGCGCACACAGAUGAUAGAUAUAGUAGGAAUCCUAAAAUUUUGCAUUUCCCAUAUGACAGGCUUUGCAUCUGAUUUCGUAACUAGAUUAACUAAGUAACUGUGUCAAACCCUUUUAUGUUACGUCUGGAUUGAUUCGAUUUUCCGCAGGUUAUGUUACUGUUCUGGUGGUGUUGGCGUUCUGGUGCUGCUGCUGUCCACCAGAACUCCUCCUGGCGCAGCCACCGUCCAACGGAGCUCCUGCCGGCCUCCAUGUCGCCCAAUCAGAAGGUCACUGUCAUUUUCCUGUGUUGCAAAACACCUCUGGGGGUGCUGUGGUGGCGGCACUGUCCACGGGAGCUACUGCUGGUGCUCACUGCGGCUUGCUGCCCCUGCCUUGUUUGACUGCGACCUCUCCUACAGCACCGUGUCACCCAUCAGAAGGUCAUUUUCCUUUUCCUGUGUUCAUCCCCUUGGGGGGUGCUGUUGUGGCGGCACUGUCCACGGGAGCUCCUGCUGGUGCUCACUGCAGCUUGCUGCCCCUGCCUUGUUUGACUGCGACCUCUCCUACAGCACUGUGUCACCCAUCAGAAGGGCGGUAGCUCAUCAAUGUCAGCGUGUACCGCAGUCCAUAGCAAGGAGAGGGUGUCAUCUAAAGCAUGGAGAUGGCCAAGGAGCUUGUCCAAAGGCAGGAUUGAAUGAGGUGGCCUUACUACGCCAAAGUUUUGGAACCAUGGGUCUCGUGCUGCACAGUUUCAUUUUCCAAUGCCAUUUAUGAGCCUCACAG